rnacentral:lncRNA from 1 species
GUAAUUUUUGCAGUGCAACGAAAUCAGAAAGAUUAGCAGCAGCAUGGCUGUGAUUGGGAAAACCGCUGUCGACAACGAUAAAGAAGACUACGACAAUGAUCCUGACGAUGACGACGUAGACAAUGCAGAGGACUCCGAGGGGGAAGAGUUUGAGCAGGAAACCAGUUGAAAUUGCUGACUACCCUCGUUCUGUUUCUGUUUGGACGGCCACAAACCUACAUCGAAUGCGGCUUUUAAGUUCUUUACGCGUAUCGUCAUACAUUAUCUUAAACAAAUUUGCUGAACUGUGCCACUUCUCUCUAUGGAUAAAGAUAAAGCUUGUGCCUUUUGUGUUUCUCUGUCCUCUUUCAUGGUCCUUAAUUAGUACUAAAACAUAUCCGUACUCUUGCUUGUGAAAAAGAAAAAGAAAAAGGAAAAGAGAUCAUUCAAGAAGGUAGUGUCUUCCACUUACGAGCCGUUCAGACCUUUUUACUUUAGGAUAAGAACUUACAUGAAACGAGUUUGUUGCUUCGUGGCGUCUUGUAUCCAAUAAUACAUUGACGAGUGCAAGCUUUUCUUCACAUGAUAAUAUAUUAUUAAAAUGGACAUCAUGUGACGGUGGACUCAUUUCAUAUAAGUUGCUCCCUAAGUUUAAAGAUAUGUACUAAAGAUAUUGUUAAUAUGUGUUAUUGGAGUUUCAAUGGAUUAGGUAGAUGGGCAGCUCCCGGAAAUUUGAUUUUUGUUGCCCUUGCCGGGAGGCGUUGGAGGAUGUUGGUCCAACAAUUGGGGAUGAAUUUCAAAUCCGUAUUCGAAACGGUAUGUUCUGAAUUCAAUUACUAACGCUGGUAAACACGCGAUGGUGGUCAGAACGAGACUAAAAUAUGAGUCUUCCCGGCACCAGACUAUCGUGACAAAACCGUCAAAUGAUCUUUUUUGUAUAAAAUAGGUAAAUUGCUUAGAUUGAAUUUUUCUUUGCAAGAAUUAUAAUACUUAAAAAAAUAGACAGUUUAGAUUGCUGUAAAACAACGUCGAGCCGGCUCCUAAAACUUCUCCAUUCUUUAGUUAUCACUUCCUUUGAAACUAUUCGUUAAGUCAAAUAGCUCAAAUUAGUCUAUUUUCCUUUAUGCAUAUAUACGAAUUGCCCCUGAUUUCGAGCUAAGUGAAAUUUCAAUCCAAAUGACAAAGAGGGAAAUGCUCCAAUGGCUGGAGAUUUUGACAAAAAGGAGCCCUGAUUUGAAGUUUUGAAGGCUAAUGAAGUCUAAUUUUGAGAAAAAAGGAGCCUAAUUUUGUGAAAUUGUAACCAAAGUAACAAAUAUUUUUUUAUUUUUUUAUUUUUUUAUCACCAUUUGAUUUGGAGGAUCGAAUUAUUUCCUCUGUUUUCUUUUGUGCUAGUUUUUGUGGGAAAUUCUUCGUAGGGUAAGAUAUGCUUGUAAAGCUUCGAAGGAUUUUGUUUGGUUUACUUGGAUGCACCUUGUCGAAAGUUCCUUCUUUUGGUGGUCCAAAAUUUGAAACGUUUCGGUUUUUAAUCCUAUAAGCUGUGUGAGCUCUACUGAUGAUUACGAAACGUUUGUUUUGGUCACAUUUGUUGUCUGUAGGUGUAAGAGCUAGGUUAAGUUAUGGAAAACUAAGAAAGUUGGAUUAUUUUGAGACUUGGUAGCCUUAAUGCCUGUGUACUGGAUUCAAAUUCUCGUUGCUAUGUAUGUCUCGUUCGGAGUCUGUAAUUCUCCGUUUUGAUUCUGAACAUUAUAUGUUUGUGGCGGCGAAUCAUGCCACUCCUGUGGGGAAGGACAAAGGACAGCAUCCUAACACAGCAUUAGAAUCCAGCAGCUAGAAGAACGGGCACUGCUCAAUGAUUUUUUUCCUUGAAGUGAGAGAGACCUCAUGGUUUCGGGAUUCCGGUAACAACUUUUUUUGCUUAAAUCUAAAGAUAGCGAAGGUUUGGAAUAAGUGGGAGGAUGCCCGGAAGGCAAGCAAAUGUCUCAUGGGGGACAGCCUCGUUCUUCCGAGAGUCGGGUGCAAUCCCAACUGGUAUACCUUAAGUCGCCUGGAGACGAUAAGUGAAGGCACAUUUUUGCAGUUUGUCGGAUCUGUGUGUAUUUCUAAGUGUCUUCAAACUACAGUUACGUUAUUAUAUCAUUAUACUACUGUGUUUUAGCACUUAUCUUUCUGUUCUUCUUUAAGUUGGCUUCAUCUGAGGUAAUUUUUGCAGUGCAAUGAAAUCAGAGAGAGUAGAAGCAGCAUGGCUGUGAUUGGGAAACCGCUGUCGACAACGAUAAAGAAGACUACGACAAUGAUCCAGACGAUGACGAUGUAGAUAACGCAGAGGACUCCGAGGGGGAAGAGAUUGAGCAGGAAACGAGUUGAAAUUGCUGACAACCCUCACUCCGUUUCUGUUUGGACGGCCACAAACCUACAUCGAAUGCGGCUUUUAAGUUCUUUACGCGUAUCGUCAUACAUUAUCUUAUACAAAUUUGCUGAACUGUGCCACUUCUCUCCAUGGAUAAAGAUAAAGCUUGUGCC